CACCGGGAACGGGGAGCGACAGGGCACGGGCACCGGGAGCGGCCGGGGGAGGAAGAGCCGGGAGCAGCGGGCACCGGGAGCACCGGGCAUGGGGGUCCUGGGACGACCUGGGUGUGGGGGAGCCGGGAGCAUCCCUGGAGGAAAAUCCCUCCUUUCCUGGAAACCGGAAUGACUCUGGAAGAAUGGCUGCUGCCUUCAGCCAGAAGAAAUCCCCAGAUUUUUUUAUUUAUUUUUUCCGUAUGCACAAAUAUUUUCUCCUUGCUCCCUUUAAGCCAAGCUUCUGACUACGAUCCUGCUUCGAUAACGCCUUGACUCUGCUCAGAUGCCUUCUGUGCCCAGAAGAAAAGAGCCGUGUUCCCAGCCACAAACCUCCCCGCUCCCAAGCAAACACUGUCCCUUUGUGCCCCUGGCACAAUCCAGCAAACCUUGCGCUGCUGAAAGAGGUUGAACUUUGAAUAUUCCCACUGAAAGCUCUUUGCUGCAGGAUCCCAGCCACCCACCGUGACAACAAACGGGCACAUUGUGGGAUCCGGGGGGCUUCUGGGCACUGCGGAUGCAAAGCUCGCCGUUGCACUGCUCCGUUGCCGCUGCCAAAAUUGUUUUGCUUCACCAAACUGA